rnacentral:lncRNA from 1 species
AGUAGGUUGGCUGGUUAUUUUGCAAGCGGGAGGGGCCGUGCGCGCUCCUGCCUCCGGCUUCUGUCCCCCACCCCCCCCUUCCCCGGUCCCGGUUUCUCCUUCGGAAAGAUGUCGGACACGGCAGUAGCUGACACUCGGCGCCUUAACUCGAAGCCGCAGGACCUGACCGACGCUUACGGGCCGCCAAGUAACUUCCUGGAGAUCGACAUCUUUAAUCCACAGACGGUGGGCGUGGGCCGGGCGCGCUUCACCACCUAUGAGGUUCGCAUGCGGACAAAUCUACCUAUCUUCAAGCUGAAGGAGUCCUGUGUACGGCGGCGCUACAGUGACUUUGAGUGGCUAAAAAAUGAGCUGGAGCGAGAUAGUAAGAUUGUAGUACCACCACUACCUGGGAAAGCCUUAAAGCGGCAGCUCCCUUUUCGAGGAGACGAAGGGAUCUUUGAGGAGUCCUUUAUUGAAGAAAGGAGGCAGGGCCUCGAACAGUUUAUUAACAAAAUUGCUGGGCACCCACUGGCUCAGAACGAACGCUGCCUACACAUGUUCCUGCAGGAGGAGGCAAUUGAUAGGAACUACGUCCCCGGGAAGGUGCGCCAGUAGGAGCCCCUCUCACCACUUGCCCUCUACUUUCCUGCUGAAAUGACAUUGGUUUUUACACUAAGCCUCUCUCUCUCUUUGAUCUGAAGUUGGCUGCCCGUCCCCUGGCCUGAUAAGACUGUCUGGCAUUGUGUUCCUUGGUACCUACCAUACCAUGGGCACUCUGCUAGGAUCCUCUUCUCUGAGGAGAGGUGGGAAACCACACAGGCAGAUGCCCUUUGCUUGGGGUUGGGGGGUGGGUGGGGGGAUUGGACUGGAAGGCAAUUUCUUGGGCAUUUACCCAUGCCAGAAGGCUGACCUUGUGGGGGGCGUGUCUUGUGCUGGUGAGGCACUUGGAUACAUACUGAUGCUGCAAGUCCAGGGGAUUUUUCUUACUCUUAGGUUUAACCAGGAACGCCGAGCAGGGAAACAUCCUGCCUUUCCUACCUGCAUGAACUUUUUCCUUUUGGGGAAGGUGGCAGAGACUCAAAAGCUCUCCUUGUUUUCUCCAGGCCUGAUCCCAGUUAUCGCAACAGUUUCCUUUGUUAUUUUCUCUCUCCCUGUUGCUUUUCAUGGUAGUAGUGGUAGAGUCAAAGCAGUCAUUUGUGUGGCGCAAUGUGUUUGGGUUUUCUGGGCCCAUCAUGGCUGCUUCAGAGUCAGAAGAAAGCCAUAGGGCAGUAGGGGAGCUCCUGUUGCCUAGCCCCUCUCCUUUGUGGCUCCCCACUCUGGCUGCCUGUUCUUGCUCACCAGUAGGCGAGUCAUUACCAUAGGCUGAGUCAGCAGUUCUCCCUCCCCAAGCCCUUGCUACUUUAUGGGUUAGCUUUGCAGGUUUGGUGGCUUUAGGGCUGGGGGAAACUCACCACUGCCAGGUAACUCCCUGAGGGGUUGGAGUGGAUCAUUUUCCAGGUACCUCCUGGUGGUAGGGAAGGGCAUCAUCACUCUCUUCCUUCCAUUCUCCCUUCCCCCCAUUCCAUUUAGUGCUGCCACAGGGCAGAAACACAUGAACAAACCACACAGUCUGAUUUCUCCUAAGCACUUUGAGCUGUUGAAUGGGGCUUAGGGGCAAGAGUUGUCACUGCCCUCCCCAGCUUGGUCACAGGGUUAUUGAACUGCCUGCACUUGUUUCCCACGGAACUCCAGCAUUCUUCCCAGAAGUUGAGCUAGGGUUUGCAAGCUGGGUAUAGAUUUCUAAAUCUUAGAGUCUGAAGCAAUUUAUCAGGGCUGACGACUUUCCUGGGCUUCUGUCUGGGAGGUAGUGGUUUGUUUGCUGGGGCCCAAUAUCUAUCCCAAAUGGUGGCACGGGAGUAGGUUAACUCUGGUGUCAGGUCAAAAGUGGGGGCUCUUUCCUUAGAAUCCCUAUCAUGGAAGGAUUGGAGUUCUUUAUAUAGGGUCUUGGGGGAAAAGGAUUACUGAUUCUGACAAGACCCUGAUCGGAGAGAUUAGGAUUGAAUUUUGACAUGGGAUUCAGAGGCCAUCUAAAUGUUGAAGUUCCCUGAGGCAGGUCAGCUUUCUAGCUGCUGGGCCUGUGCCAGGGGCUGAACAGCCCCUUGAGAAAGGCUCUGCUCCCUUUCCCACCUCCCCAAUGUUGGUGUUGUUGCUGCCUUUUUCAUUUGUAUCCUGUUACUUUUUUUUUUUUUUAAAGAUUCCUUCUUUCAUUGUGCACAAGUGCUGAGAGCCUGAGGCCCCAUUUCUGCUGUGUAUAUAUCCUGACUUGGGGCUUUUAUUCAGCAAAAUGUUCAUUCUUCUGUCAGACAAUGUCAUAUUCAACUCUGUUCAUAUUAAACCACUGUGAAGCAAGCCUCUGUUUUCCUGCCUAAGUUGUAAAUUUAGUAUUUUUUUAGUUUCUAGGAUAUUCUGGGUAUUGUGUAGAAAUCAUACAACAUGGUCAGUGUCCUUAGGUCAUAAGUAAGUUUUACAUUUAAAUUUUUUAAAAAACAGAAUCCUAAGUUGCCUGUAGCAAUAUUUACCUGUCCUUCUUGCAGCUUGCAAUUGACUUUGUCACAGAGGUAAUGCAACUGUUUGCAGGAAGUAGCCAUAGGGCUCAGUAACUGUGGUUUAGGUCAGAUUUAGCAGAUUUGGUUUUUAAGCUUGUGGGUUUGUGCUAAUUUGGGCAGAAUAUAUUUAUAGUAUGUGUAUGUGUAUAUAUAUGUAUAUGCAUAUGCUCUGUGUGUACAUAAACACAUGUGUGUGUGUUCAUCCUAUAACACUCCCCCCCACACAACCCCUACAAACACUAUUCCUUUCAUAGUCUUUUUAACCUUAAUGGAGACUUUUCCUUUCAAAUAGAUUUGAUGCAGGCAGAAAGGUGAAUGAACUCUGAGAACUGUUUUUGUUUUUGUUUUGGUCUUUUUGAGGGCCGCUCCCAUGGCAUAUGGAGGUUCCCAGGCUAGGGGUCUAAUCGGAGCUGUUGCCUCCGGCCACAGCCACAGCCACAGCCACAGCAAUGCCAGAUCCGAGCCGCGUCUGCGACCUACACCACAGCUCGCGGCAAUGCUGGAUCCUUAACCCACUGAGCCGGGCCAGGGAUCAAACCCAUGUUCUCAUGGAUGCCAGUCAGAUUCAUUUCUGCUGACCCACCAUGGGAACUCCCAAAGCUAGUUUUAAUCAUGUAGUUGAGCAUGGAAAGAAGGUAUAGAAAGUGAUGUCAAAACAUUAUGAAUUAAGGUGACAUAAUGAUAUUUGGGUCUGUGUAGAAGAGUGGGAGCGGAAUUGAAGAAGUUAAGAGAUUUUGGUAGUUCAGGAGUUAGAUGACUAAAGAUAUCUGAGGGGACAGGGAAGAAUAGCUAUUUCUGUGAGAUAGGAGAAAGGAAGAGUAAUGAUAGAAAUGCAACCUUCACAGGCAGCAGGGUUGGAAAAUGAAUUAGAGAAUAAUUAGAAAAGGCAGCUAUAGAAUAAAAUAGUAACAAAACUUUGGACAGAUAACAUCGUUUGACAGGUAUUAAUUAGUAGCUGCCUGUAUGUCUAGCCUUAUGCUAAAAGCUGGGCUGUGAUGGAGCGGAGUGCUUGUGGUACAAAUAAAAUGAUUAUAUUCUUUUUCCUCAUAGACCUUAUUAUUUCUUAUACUUUGGUUUAGGAGAUAUUUAUAGAAGACAAAAACAUGCCAGAGAUAAAAUAAAAGGUCCAGGCACAUCUAGUUAUUUGUCCAGCUUUAAAAAAAAAUAAUCAGAUCAGGUUUUCUUUGGAGUCAAAUGUAACUGGGUCCCGAAAAGAACCCCAAAUCCAAGCCCAUCAACACCAAGGAGAAAGGGAAGCAUACUUUUAUAAGGAAUUCAAGUUUAUGCAUGCAUGUAGGUAUUUACUACUAAUUAACACCCUUUAUUCAUAGCUCAACCUUAACACUGGAACUUGGGGGAUGGAGGCUAAACAAAUUUUUGAACAUAGUAGCUAGAUCCAAAAGAAGUCUAAAUCUUCACAUUCCAAAGGUGCCUUAAUGACCCUUUGAACCCUUCUUUGAGGUGAGUUGAGCUAGUAUAGAGUGAGAGAGGUGCACACUUCAGGCUUCUGUGGAGCUUGUGUUUGAUGAGGUAUCCUAGGUAAGACACUUCUGUCUUCAAAUACAUGCUGUAAUAAUUUAAGUAAAUUUUUUUUUUUUUUUUUUUUUUGCUGUGGAAAUGCAGACCAGUUGCUCACUGAAAUGGAUAUUUCUUGCUAUCCUUGAGGACUAUUGAGUCACCCUUGGUCUUCUCUUCUUAAACACAUAACAGGUCUAAUUUUUCCUCACUUGGCUCAUUUUUAACCCUUUUAUCUUUAUUACUCUGAAAUCUUUCCAAGGUCCUUAUGUGUCCCUAAGUCAUAGAGUCUAAAACUGGACACCACUUCAAUUAUAGCCUGACGUUUAGGUGGUUGUUAGUCCAUUUAUACAUUGCAGUAUUCAAGUUUACUUUUAAAAUAUAAACACUUUGUGACUAAUUUAGCUUGUGGUUCUCUGCCACUCCCUUCCCAACCACCCACCACCCCUCAUUCUUCUUAUCUUUUUUAUUUUUGGCUUGUACAAAAAAAAUUGUUCCCUAUUUUAUUUUCUCCCUUCUCUCUCUCUCCCUCUCUCUAUGCUUUUGAGAACAGAAAACUCAUUCCUUACAAAAUGGACAAACUGGGGUAAUCAUUAACAUUAUACAGAAUAAAGGAAUUUUUAAGUCAUGGCAAGCUUUCUUUAAAUAGGUGCUUCCUAUGGUGGUUUUAAGUGUUUGUAUAUAGAUCAUCCAACUACUUGAUAAAGAGAAACUGAAGGUAAAGGAUUAAGAGGCACUGCCAAUUGGAGGUCACUCAGGAAUUGGAUAAAACAGUAAUUCUUAAAUGAACAAUAAAAAACAUUCAC